rnacentral:rRNA from 1 species
UGAUCCUGGCUCAGAUUGAACGCUGGCGGCAGGCCUAACACAUGCAAGUCGAACGGUAACAGGAUAGCUUGCUAUCGCUGACGAGUGGCGGACGGGUGAGUAAUACUUAGGGAUCUGCCUCUGUGUGGGGGAUAACUAUUGGAAACGAUAGCUAAUACCGCAUAAUGUCUACGGACCAAAGCGGGCUUCGGCUCGUGCGCAGAGAGGAACCUAAGCGAGAUUAGCUAGUUGGUGAGGUAAAGGCUCACCAAGGCGACGAUCUCUAGCUGUUCUGAGAGGAAGAUCAGCCACACUGGAACUGAGACACGGUCCAGACCCCUACGGGAGGCAGCAGUGGGGAAUAUUGCACAAUGGGGGAAACCCUGAUGCAGCCAUGCCGCGUGUGUGAAGAAGGCCUUCGGGUUGUAAAGCACUUUCAGUUGUGAGGAAAGUUUAGUAGUUAAUACCUGCUAGAUGUGACGUUAGCAACAGAAGAAGCGCCGGCUAACUCCGUGCCAGCAGCCGCGGUAAUACGGAGGGUGCGAGCGUUAAUCGGAAUUACUGGGCGUAAAGCGCACGCAGGCGGUCUGUUAAGCUAGAUGUGAAAGCCCCGCGCUCAACGUGGGAGGGUCAUUUAGAACUGGCAGACUAGAGUCUUGGAGAGGGGAGUGGAAUUCCAGGUGUAGCGGUGAAAUGCGUAGAGAUCUGGAGGAACAUCAAUGGCGAAGGCAACUCCCUGGCCAAAGACUGACGCUCAUGUGCGAAAGUGUGGGUAGCGAACAGGAUUAGAUACCCUGGUAGU